GGGUGGUCAAAGAAGAGAUUUCCGAUGACAACGCCAAGCUGCCCUGCUUCAACGGGAGAGUAGUGUCCUGGUUGGUCCUGGCAGAGAGUGCUCAUUCUGAUGGAGGGUCUCAGUGCACGGAGAGCCACCCAGAGCUGCCCCCUCCUCUUGAGAGAACAGGAGGCAUCGGAGACUCCCGCCCCCCCUCGUUCCAUGCCAACGCGGUCAGCAGUCGAGACGGCCUGGACACCGAGACGGGCACAGAGUCUCUGCUGAGCCACCGCAGAGAGCGAGAGAGGGAGCGCGCGCGGAGGAGAGCGAGAGAGACUGAGC